rnacentral:rRNA from 1 species
CCUACGGGAGGCAGCAGUGAGGAAUAUUGGUCAAUGGACGCGAGUCUGAACCAGCCACGUAGCGUGAAGGAUGACUGCCCUAUGGGUUGUAAACUUCUUUUAUAAAGGCAUAAAACGAGGCACGUCUGCCUUUUUGCAUGUACUUUAUGAAUAAGGAUCGGCUAACUCCGUUCCAUCAGGCGCGGUAAUACGGCGGAUCCGAGCGUUAUCCGGAUUUAUUGGGUUUAAAGGGAGCGCAGGGGGGAGUUUAAGUCAGUUGUUAAAGGUAGGGGCUUAAACCGUAAACUGCAGUUGAAAUGGGCAGUCUUGAGUGCAGGAGAGGUAGGCGGAAUUCGGGGUGUAGCGGUGAAAUGCGUAGAUAUCACGAAGAACUCCGGUUGCGAAGGCAGUUCGCUGGACUGCAACUGACACUGAGGCUCGAAAGUGUGGGUAUCAAACAGGAUUAGAUACCCGAGUAGUC